GGGGGCGUAAAGGUUUCGACGGGGAUUUUGAGGUAUGAUAAGCGGGUGGAGCCGAACAAACUCCUUAAUCUGUUCACUUUUAAACAUAAACGCUAAUCGUAACGAUUACGCAAUGGCUGCCUGAGUGCAGUUGAUGUCGCUUUUUAGCGACCCGUCCGCCGGAGAGUAUCGCGGUUCCGAUACGGGCGUCGACGAGCGAUGACCGUGAACAAUGAAUUUGCCGUUAUAAUUGUCACGCAUCAAACGGCUACCGGAGCUUUCAGCCUGCCGUUUGGCGGUAAGCGAAGGGAAUAAAUAAACAAACGGAUGCACCCGGAGAAAGUCAUAUCAAGAGGUUUUCGGACAGGGGUUCGACUCCCCUCGCCUCCACCA
rnacentral:tmRNA from 1 species